UACGGGGGGAGCAAGCGUUGUUCGGAUUUACUGGGCGUAAAGGGCGCGUAGGCGGUCAGCACAAGUCAGUUGUGAAAUCUCCGGGCUUAACUCGGAAAGGUCAACUGAUACUGUGCGACUAGAGUGCAGAAGGGGCAACUGGAAUUCUCGGUGUAGCGGUGAAAUGCGCAGAUAUCGGGAAGAACACCCGUGGCUAAGGCGGCUCUCUAGUACGGUACUGACGCUGAGACGCGAAAGCGUGGGGAGCGAACAGG
rnacentral:rRNA from 1 species